CCAAACAAUGACCCCUGCUACGGGUAGUGUUCCAAGUGUUAUGAGACUUCAGCUAAUGAUGGGUCCAUCUGAAAUUAUUCGGUGCAGUGCCGUCGGUUGGUGGAGAAACGGACAGUAGUGGGCAGUAUCUCCGCCUGUCACGCGGAAGACCGGGGAUCGAUUCCCCGACGGGGAGAGCUGGUUCUUUUCGUUUUCCGAAUGAUCCAUCCAAAAUGUUUGGUUGGAGUCGCAGGUCACAGAAGGAGUUCUGCUUCGACGUCAGCCCGAGCCAAAGGACAUGCGUUGGCCGGGAAUCGAACCCGGGUCAACGGGUCGCGGGAGCCGAAAAUAGUUAAGCUUAACUUCUCUUAACUUUUCCCAUUCAUUCUCUAUGGUAGUGCUUAACACUACGGAUGUGAUAUAUUUGUGGCCACACGUAGAUUUCCCGGCGCUGUUUCGCCUCUUCCGUGGCGCGGAAUUCAAACAGCGGAUACUCAUCUGUCAAUCAUUCGCUCUGAAGGAGAGGAGACGCGUUUUACGAUCGGAGAUUUCUUCACGAAAUUGUUUUGUUUGAACAACAUACGCUGCCAAACUCCCAACAAGCAGGAAUGUUUAGAUGAUGCGUGCUCUGUCAAGACACCCUCCUCCACAGAGUAGGUCACCCUAAAGACGGUCUCACUCUCAGUCCACCAAAACAUCACACCAGACACUUUGUCAGUGGAGGAUCAAAGGUCAGAAGGGUUUCUUCCAGAUGCAGAACACCACACCAUUGGCCAUAAAAGCGUCCCUCGUUCAGCUCACACUGGACCCCUCAGAACAGCUGGUCUUCGUGUUGGACCAUAGAUGGACAGAUCUGUUGAGAAUUGCCCGUGAACAUCUCUUGGCAACGCACCAUAGGAGCAAGGAUCUUCUUAAACAGGUCAAAGGCUUUUUCUUUCUUCUUCUGUGUUUUCCACAACUUUAAAUUGUAUUAUUAUUAAUAUUAUUGUAGCUGUUGUUGUUUAAUCUACAAUUUUUAAUUAUUUAAUUGAUUUCCAUUUGUUAAAUAAAACAUCAGAAGUAUUGGCCUUGUUUACACUGUACUUUAGAGUGUUAAAUAAUUGUAUCGACUCUGUAUUGUUAUUUUAUCUUGCUCAGUUUUGUAAACAUGUUAGUUUACAAUGUUAGUUACGGCUAUUAUUAAACUCUGUAAAUAAAUAUUUUAUUUAAAAUACUCUACCAGUCAAAUGUUUUUCAGCAGUAAGAUUUGUAAUGUUUUUUGAGGAGUCUCUUCUGCUCACCAAGCCUGCCUUUAUUUUAUCCAAAAGUACAGCAAAAACAGUAGCAUUUUAAACAUUCUUACUAUACUUUAAAUCAGCUGCUUUCUAUUUCAAUUCAAUUCAAGUUUAUUUGUAUAGCAAUUUUUACAAUACAAAUCGU